rnacentral:rRNA from 1 species
GACGAACGCUGGCGGCAUGCCUAAUACAUGCAAGUCGAACGCUGAAGCACUCUGCUUGCAGAGUGCGGAUGAGUGGCGAACGGGUGAGUAACACGUGGGUAAUCUGCCUAUAAGAGGGGGAUAACAUUCGGAAACGGAUGCUAAUACCGCAUAUAUUCUUGGACCGCCUGGUCCUUGAAAGAAAGACGGCUUUGCUGUCGCUUAUAGAUGAUCCCGCGGCGUAUUAGUUAGUUGGUGGGGUAAAGGCCUACCAAGACAAUGAUACGUAGCCGACCUGAGAGGGUGAUCGGCCACACUGGGACUGAGACACGGCCCAGACUCCUACGGGAGGCAGCAGUAGGGAAUCUUCCACAAUGGGCGAAAGCCUGAUGGAGCAAUGCCGCGUGAAUGAAGAAGGUCUUCGGAUCGUAAAGUUCUGUUAUUAGAGAAGAACAAGUCAAGGAGUAACUGUCUUGACUUUGACGGUACUUAACCAGAAAGUCACGGCUAACUACGUG